CGACCAGAACUACGUAAGCUAGCGCUAUCUAUAUUCCUGCUUUUGCUGAAGCCAUCCUGCCCAUACGUGCGCUUGUUUCUGUAUCUUAUAGUCGCUCCUAUUGCUACUCGUGUGACUGUUGCGUUACGUUACUGUUACAGGCUGUCGUUACUGUCGCUUCUGUCGCAAACGGCACUUCGAGCAACGGCAGCCGCCGCCGUUUGUCGUCGCCCAGUCCAGUCCUACUCAGUUUGACAGCGACACCCUACACGGUUCACAGUUGUGUGUGCGCGGCAAAUGAUUCGCUCGCUAUGCUGGUUUGUCGUACGCCGCCGUUUUUCAGAUAUUGCCAACGUACAUUUGUACAGAGACAUAGACAGACGCAAGUACUAUGCGCUCAGAUGCCGCAAGCACACAUCACUCUCCUGAGGAGGAUCUUCUGGGGCGGGCCGCGGCGGUGACGGCGAUCGUUCGGCUUUCUGCCUGACUUUCGACUGGAUGACUGACUGACGUUAGCUGGCCAACCAGCGGUAGCUCUGGAAGCGGCAGUAGCAACAGCUGACGAAUUGCAGCGUGUAGCGCAAGCAGCUGAAACACCGGCAAAAUGAACAGGCGAACUUUAGCCAGCAGCCGCGGCACUGGCGGCUGUGCUAUUUCUAUCGUUGCAGCUAAGUUUGACUUUGACUUUGGCUUCGUCUUUGGCGAUACCUGGUUGUGUGUGCAUGCAGUUCGAUUCGCGGUGGCGGUACGCGGCGAAUCCACUUGUCGCCGCAACGGCAGCACUGACGACGCUAAGCUGCGUGCGAUCGUAAACGCACGAAAGGGGACGGCGCUGAUCUUCAACAAAGGCAGCAGCGGCAGUCUCAUCAGCACAGAACAAGCUGCCGCUACUGCUGGCAAAGCGGUAUACAAAAAGGGCGCCGUAAAGCAUUCGGUUUAGCCAACAGCAGCGGCUUGUUCGCGCCGCACUUUCUUGGCUUUUGGCGCGUCACUUCAUCCGAGCGGCCGAUGAUUGUAUCACAUUGAGCAGGGGAAAAUGGGGGUCUGGCGUAGCGGCAGCGUCAUUAGACAAGCCAGCAAGCCAGUCGUACGGUCCGUGUCUAUAAUACAUAAACAGCUUGUGAGUGUAUCCAUGAGUGUCUGUGUGCAUGUAUGUACAGAAAGCACUCUAUACGCACGCGCACACAAGAUAUAUUACAUAGACGACAAAGGACGAUUGUCAAUACCAGUAUGGCAGGGUUCUGCUUCUACGCCGUAGUACUUGUUGUGGUCAUCGUAGCCUGGCAAGAGUGCGUGGCAAAUUCACGCAAUACCAAUUCCAGAAGUAUCUUGGCUUGCAACACCAGUUCUAAGAAGAUGGAUUCAUUUUUACUUAGAUGAUAUCCCCUCUCUAUCUUGCCUUACUUGCUACGCCGCCAAAUAGUUAAAAACUGCCAAAAAGCAAUAGCAGCGACGGUAACGUACAACUACCGAAAUCAAAAAGUCCAGGGAGGGAAGCUGCGCCAGCUGGCCGGUAGUCACUUACCGAACAAGAGCAAUGUGCAAAUGCAGCUUCGUCCUAAACGGGUAGCACAGAUAUCGAAAUAUGCCUUUUUUUCUAAUGCUGAAAAUGAAAUAAAGACCUUUCUCGCCUACAUGAAACAUGUACGGAUACGAAUCAGAUUCGCUGAUAAUAUACGUUUUACUAAGACUAGAAAUGCAUGAGCUUCCCAGCUAAUAAGACGUUCAUAGAAAAGCGCUAAUCUUUCGCAAAGGCACUGGGCCAAGCUUGCUCGAAGGGUAGCCACAGCGCACCUAACUUCUAGCUAGACAAUUAUGGUUAACGUGAGAUGAAGGGUUUGAAUUAACGAUAGAUAAAUCCUCGGGAAGUAUAUAUACAUUCAGAAUAAAUGGGCUGUUACUAGUUAUUAUGGUAGUAAUAUUGUUAGAGAGAUGACCGAAGUUACCUAUGACUUGCUCGAUAGAAGGCAAGCGAUCACAUCGAGUGUUCGCAGAAUCAGUAAAGGCGUCCGAUGCUUGCACAGAUUGCUCCAGACGUUGAAUCACUUUCAUAUUGAGAUUUCAUAGAAAACAGCAGCACAUAUCCAUCACAUGCACACGACUCGUAAAUGGCAAAGCAUUGCUUGAUAUUCCAUCGCAGGCACACGUACAGGCAUACGCUCACUUUUGGUAACCCUUACUGGUGGCCACCAAACUCGGCUCGUUUGUUGGACAACCGCUGGUGAAGAUUGCACAGGCGUAAUAACAUCCCCGAUGUAAUGGGCAUGAUAAACACACACACACACACGCACAUUGGUUAAUGUGUGCCCGCUCAUGAGUCCAUAUCCUCUGUACUACAAUAUACAUGCAUAUAGGGAGCAUUGACAGGAAAAUACUCAAUAUUCCUAUACAACUUCGUUUCAUUUUUGAUUAUUUUGUCAAUUAAUUAGAAAAACCACUAUGGACUAGAUUCAAUGGCACGUCGAUAUUUCCAGCCAGCGCGAUCUCUGUCACGUAAUGUAACUAUGAUACCACCGAUGUACAAGAAACAUCGUUCUCUUGACCUCGAUACAGUGCACUGCAUGUUAAUGCACAAGGAGGAAGAUAGCACGCUCUGUGCACGUUUUUUUUCUUCUGUGCAAGCAUCAGGCAGCAGCAUCGCUCCAUAUUGCAAUAUAGCAGCGAACAGGACGGACGAACGAAAGCUAUAGACAACAUCGCGCAUCAUCAUCAUCGACAUCAUUAGCACUACCCCAUGAACGAGACGAAACGCAACAGCAGAAGGGACAACAAACCCUGCUUGUUGUUUUUGUCGUUGUGACCGAGGGGUGUGUACGGGGGCGCGAGCAUGGGUAGUCCUGGACCCCUUUUCCGUGCGCAUCAGUUUCAGAGCGUUCGACUCCGUACCGCUCAUUAUUAUUAUUAAUGAUAACCUGCCACUAUCAUCCAGCGGACGCAACAGCGAACGUGCGAACGGCCUUUUUCUCGCUUCCUCAAUGGUUUUAUCCUCUCGUAGGGUUCACUGGCGGCCAUGCGGCUGCGCUAAUGCGCUGUCUCGGCAGCAGUAGCAGAAGCACAUAGUAAGGAAAGCGACGACGUCACACGACACUCUGCGACGUGUUAAGCAUCGUUAUUUCAACGAAUGUUACGUCGCGCUACAGGAUGAGUCGCGCUCCUCCUGCCGCGCCAAGAAAGCCAAAGGAAAAGACAGAGAAAAAGAUUCUUCUUUGUCUUCGUUGACUAAUACAUCUACUUCUUGUAGGCUACUAGUUUUUGCUUAUCCUCUUUGUCUCUCACGGUUUCUUCGUCUGCGAAACAUCAUAGAGAGCUGUCUUGCGGAGGACGCAGGACAGCAAGCAAGCAAUCGACCAAGGAAGCAACUAAGUCGACGGGGCAAAAGGAAAGGUAAGGUAGCGAGAAUCGACGACGCUGUCGUCGUUCAGUGUUGGGCGGUGGUAGUCGUUGUGGCGCGGAGUGCUAGCGACGUCUCAGUGGUUUGCUUUUUUUCAGUUCCGUUCCUGCUCUAGGCAGCAGCUGGAUGACGCGUCGCAUGCGCCGUCGCAGCGUGGGCAGCACAAGAAGGAUAAUAGUCAUCAUCCUAUUCGAAAUUCUAUCACUCGGCCCGUACGACGUGAUGACAUAGGUAUCUGCCGACCAUCGUAGGCCACAGGAACGAGAAGAAACCGUUGAAUAUCUUGUCGUCUGGUGCAAUACACAUACAGGGACUGGAGGAGGGACCGGGCGGACAGAUGGACUGUUAUACGUUGACUCGCUCGCCUGCGCUACGCACUACAUCUUCUACGACCACUGUUACCACACUACGUUACGGCAGGGAGAGAGGAAUACGUGAAAUGUUGCUGCAGUAGAGGCACUGGUGAUCUCAGCAGUAGCUUUACAGAUGUGCAUGCCCGCGUGCUCUUUGCCUUCUUGGCUGUGCCCUCGUAGCUCUCUGUAUAGGGCGGGGGCCGUGGACACCAAUGUAGCGUCACAACAGGUAUUUACGACAACAACAACAUCAUUGCUGCUGCUGCUGCUGCUGCUACAAGCACAGACGAAGCGAGAACUCUCACGAAUCAAGGAUAAGAAAAGAAGGAAUACUGCUGUCGCCUGCACGAACUGGUCAUAGCUAGCGAGCCAGCCAGAUAAAGUAUUUAUCAUUGUAGCUUCUCGCAAUAGCGACGCGCUUGGUGGCGCUAACAUCGUCAUCGCUGAGUAUCCUCCUCCAGUGAAAAUACGGCAAACGGGAUAGCUACUGGAUACAUACGUAUACGCCCAACUCUGCUACGAGUGCUAGCGAUGGCGUACCCUCAGCGUCGAGAUCACGCUCAAAGUUUCCCGAACCUGCAAUUAUUGAUGGUUAUCACGCCACAUCGAGCAAAGGGGACAAGAGAGGAACGUGCUGUGGCCUGACAAGCUCCUCGCAUGCCCGGGCUAGAUGUUAUCUCUUAGCAAUGAGAAUCGUCCCGUGGCACUGUCCCUUUAAAAUAUUGCCCAAUGUUCUACGGCUAGCGACGAGGUCUGCUUCAAUACAUUCCCCUGGCCUCCUCAUCGAUGUCGUUCUUCAUGCGAAACGGAAUGCAAGUUACUGAGGCUAUGAGGCUUACAGACAAGGUACAGUGCUGCUGUGCCUUAUCGCGCACGUCAGCGAGCUGCGAACGUUAAGCUGGGCAUCGCUUCUAAAUAAUCGUUCGGAGUUAUCCGCGAAACGGACCUAAUCAUGAUCCUGUAAUUCAGACGCGUGGCAGAACGUAGUCUUCCCGAACAGAUACAAUUAAGGUUCAUCGUGGAACAGACGCACACACAUGGAGUUAGAAUUCACCUAUGAUAGCGUGCUGCUGCAUCAAGAGGGCGAAUUGAUUCCAUUGCAGCCGUCAGGAGAACGCCUCGGACUCUGUUAGCAACAUUUCGAUGAAGAUACAUCCUCGGAUCAAGCACAUUCAGUCAACAACGAUAUGUCGUGGGAAUAGGUUUUUACGGAGAGACGACAUGGUCUCAAUAGGUUGCUCGCUUCGUUCUGUGUAUCUUUCCGGCGUUGGUUGAUAUACGCAACACUAUACCGUACACAACAGGCGUUUACGAUGGGCAAGUGUACGUGUACACUAUGGACAGUCCGACAAAAAUAAUCCAAUAGGAGUAAUGGCAGUCGCUCGGUAGCGGUUGAAUGCGGAGCGCUCCUAUGAAUACUGCCUAUAGGGGUGCAGCUGGGACGAGCUGCGUCGAGAUGGAGGAGACAACGCGUCUGUGCCUGCUACUACUGUUGCCGCUGCUGUCGUUCUUGGUGUUGGUGUUUUUGGUGGUAAUGCAUUUGGUGCAGGCGUCGUGGCAGUAGCAAAUUCGCGCGAGCUGAGUUGGACCGAGAUGCGCAGCUUCAGGCAGUCUGUGCGCCUCCGCAGUCUGCGGUGAGAGAUACAUUGUACACAACACACGGAGCGGAGCGCAAUGUUGCUACCGCUGCGUUAUGGACAAAUGCUAAGGAUAAGAUGAGAGAAGAUGCAGCAGCAGCAGCAGCAAGAGCGGCGGCAACAACGAUAAUGAUGUUGUCGCUCGUAGCGACGCUCUCUGCUGCGGCUGCUGCCGUCAGCGCGGAAUGGCGAGACAACAAGAAAAGCUAUCACCCUCUCUCCGGUGCCGCUGCCGACGACACUCAGCGUUCGUUGGCCCGCUCGCUCACGCCGGCGCAAUCGCCAUUGACUUGGUGUAUCGCGGCCGCUCUGUGCUCCCUCGAAACGUUGCAGCAGCGUCGGCCGCGAUGACGGCGGCGGUAGCCUCACAUACGUCGUACACCAACUGCCAUUACUCAACGCCGGACCGAGCAGUGAGCCGCUUUGCCCGCCCCGCACCUUAGUGGACGGUAACAUCAGCUUCUGCAGCUGGAUGACGCGUAGCAGCGUAUCUUGAGUGAUGUCCUGAAUACGAUCUCGAGUCAGCGUCAGCUAUUCCGCACGUACCAUAGAGAAUAAUGCAAAAUUAUUCGUUCAAUGGAGGAGCAGCGGGGGAAACUGUUCAAACUUCGUCGUAUUUCUUUCUGGUCAACGUCGACAUGGCGUUAAGGGAGCAAAUAAGUAUUUACUAUAUAGUGCACCGGGCGCAUCAAGUGCUGGGGCAGUUCAGCGUGUAGCAGCAUUUCACUGCCUGCGCGUAUGAACUACCAUCGGUUUUCCUAACUCGGUUCAUAUUAUUCUAUUAUUAUUGAUAAACAUGAUCUGUUGUGUUGAUUCCGAGUGAUAAGCCAGAUUAAAUUAGGUUCGUAUCGAUAAAUCGAUGUCCGAUCGGUCGCUGGUAGCUUCGACAAAUCCGAGAUCUGUAUUACUGUGUGAUUCCCUAAACUGUCGACGAUCGCACGAACAGCUCCGAAGUGAUGGCCCAUAGAAACGCGCUACCUGGCGCUAUCUGGUGCGCGGUAGAGAUACCACCACUGAAACUGCCGCAUCCACCGAUAUCGUUCAUACUGCGUAUACGUUGGUAUCCAUCGCCUUACGUUUCGCGCGCGCGUUAAGCUUCGCGCACACUAACUGCGAUAGUAGUCAUUUACAAUAGUAUUAGCAUAGCGUGUCUCUGUCCGUCCAGCCGUAAUAGGACAGCAGCAGCGCCAGCUACAGCAACCGGUGGAGGGGAGAGUAAAGAAGCCUGAGAAGGGUACCGACGGCGUAGAACGGCAUCUGAACGAAUAUCGACGCGAAGGGACGCUAAUAUAUGUGCACAUAGAGGGAGACUUCGCAGCUAGCGUUGCCGGAAUGAGCGUGACAGCUCCAGCAGCAGCGAUAAAUGGAAGGAAGCCAGAAGUUGUCCGUAAGGAAAAACAUGGACAAGAAUGCUUUUUUUAAGCUCUGACUGCCGUCGAUGGGGCUGCCGACGGCUUUUUCUGGAUGACCGUGAGCCGCUAGGCGCGAGGGUCGACGAGCAACGUGCGGCGGCGACAACAGAAGGAACAAGGGCGGCAGCUGCCGCUGUUGGGGCUAAUUCUUUCUUUUGGAACUUCUGGCGACGAACGCGCAAACGUUGCCUCGUCGUGAGCCAGCUUACUUGGGCAACGGCAACCGCAGCAGCGACGGCAAACAGCUCGUUGCUUUCGACGCCGCUGGAAAGAUAUGGCUGGAUAUAUAUGUUCAUGUGUGAGUUUGUGUAUUCCUCCGUACGCCGUGCAUAUCUCCGCGAGCGGCUCUAUCUGCCACAAAGCGCAUUUCACAGAUGCCAUCGAUGCCGAAUGGCGAGCGGCGGUGGCGCACUCGAAAAAUGCUUUUGCUUUGGCACACUGUAGCGGUGACGCGGAGGAUGACGCUCGUGGAAUAACAAGUCCAGUAUACGGAACAGCUACUUAUUCAGACGAUGGUGAAAUAGCAGACGGACUGCUACUGUGUUGCGUGGACAACAUUAACCAGACGCCACCUUGUCUGCUGUGCUGGUGCUGCCGCGGUCUGUUUGCUGCAUGAGUGUACACGUACGAACGUUUGCGUAUCUCUCCUCUAUCAUCGCUAUUUUGUCCUUCGUCAUUUUCGCCGUUCGUAAGCGCUUCGCAGUCUAUCUUAGGGCGAGUGAGUGCGUGAUAACGCUGUUCGUUCUUUGGCUACGCUUACGCCAACACUCAGCUCCCUUCUGUGCGGAUGAAGCCACUGGAUGAUUAUUGGAACAAUUGCCAUCGUAGAGUCGAACGAAUAGGCUUCAUCGGAUCGGGUUGAGCAAUGCUACUGGCUCGCAUGCCCCUUAGAGCUAACAGGGAAAGAACUGAAGAUAAAGUAAACCGGAUUUCCACAACGACUUCCUGGAAAUGAUGUGUUGCCUGCUCGAUAAAAUUCGAAGUUCCACAGGCGACCUAUUCGUACGUGUACAGCGCAAGACAUUGAUUGAGGACUGAAUGGUUUCUUUAAUAGCGAUGUUAAGGAUAGAAAGUUUUAGUCGAGUUCUCUAGCUGAAGAUGAAGAGAGCAAAGUCAACAGAUCCGAGUUCCACAGGGAGUCGACAUUCAAUAAAAAUGCACAUAAAAAAAAAAACUACGACAAACAUACAUUCAUUUUCAGGUAGGAUCUCUACUGAGACGCAGUCCUAUUAUUGUGUCCCUUUGGUUGAAGAGUUAUACGAAUUUAUCCAAUAACACUUGGUAGAUUCUCCCUUUUUUCCUUAUAUGCUCGAAUGGUGGACACAUAUUGGAUAGACUAAGGGAAAACUAUUAUAGAUAGAAUUGGUAAACCUUCACAAUGGGGCUUCAACUUCAAAAUUACAACUCAUAGAGAAAGAUAUUCAGAUUAUGCGAAGUUAGCGCUUCGAAAAGUUACAUCGAUACGAAGCGGAUGUUAUCUUUUACUAGGGCCGGUCUAGAACGCAAAUUUACUGAAGCCGGCGUAUCCGCUUACACGGUUAUUUAUGUCCGUACAAAAACUAUCCGACUUGAAGUGUGAUUUGAUGUAUUAAAGAUUCAAUGUCGGAUUUCGGUAAACUGUUUUAGAUGUAUAUUCUAAUGUCCAUCUAGUAUCUUCCGAGUACUAAAGUAAUAACACUUAGAAAAGUAAAUGAAGUACGUCAGCGAUUCUGGAGCAUUCUGUCGACGAGCUGAAUAAAAGUAAUAACUCA